rnacentral:rRNA from 1 species
UACAGAGGUGGCAAGCGUUGUUCGGAAUUACUGGGCGUAAAGGGCGCGUAGGCGGUCUGCCAAGUCCCGUGUGAAAGCCCCCGGCUCAACCGGGGAACGGCGCGGGAAACUAGCAGGCUUGAGUUCGGGAGAGGGAAGCGGAAUUCCGGGUGUAGCGGUGAAAUGCGCAGAGAUCCGGAGGAACACCGGUGGCGAAGGCGGCUUCCUGGACCGACACUGACGCUGAGGCGCGAAAGAUAGGGGAGCAAACGGG